CAGAAAAAUCUGUAAAGCUCAGGAGGGAUAGCGCCGCAACACACCAGGAUUUUUACAUCAUGAUGUAUUUGGCGCUAUCUAUCCUGAGUUUCACGGGUUCUUCUU
rfam:Cajanus cajan CcLG01_449, whole genome shotgun sequence.